CUCUUGGGAAACUAUCUAUCUAGAGUAAGGRAGAGGCAGAUGGAAUUCUUGGUGUAGGGGUAAAAUCCGUAGAUAUCAAGAGGAAURCUURUUGCGAAGGCRAUCUGCUAGAACUUAACUGACACUAAUGCGURAAAGCGUGGGGAGCAAACAGGAUUAGAUACCCUNGUAGUCCACGCCCUAAACGAUGUAUACUNGUURUUGCUGUGCUAGUCAUGGCAGUAAUCCACUAACGGAUUAAGUAUACCGCCUGGGGAGUACGGUCGCAAGA
rnacentral:rRNA from 1 species